CUUGAUCUUAGCCAAAAGGCCG
rnacentral:snRNA from 1 species